GAUGAACGCUGGCGGCGUGCCUAAUACAUGCAAGUCGAACGCAUAGCGAAAGGUGCUUGCACCUUUCAAGUGAGUGGCGAACGGGUGAGUAACACGUGGACAACCUGCCUCAAGGCUGGGGAUAACAUUUGGAAACAGAUGCUAAUACCGAAUAAAACUUAGUGUCGCAUGACACAAAGUUAAAAGGCGCUUCGGCGUCACCUAGAGAUGGAUCCGCGGUGCAUUAGUUAGUUGGUGGGGUAAAGGCCUACCAAGACAAUGAUGCAUAGCCGAGUUGAGAGACUGAUCGGCCACAUUGGAACUGAGACACGGCCCAAACUCCUACGGGAGGCGGCAGUAGGGAAUCUUCCACAAUGGGCGAAAGCCUGAUGGAGCAACGCCGCGUGUGUGAUGAAGGCUUUCGGGUCGUAAAGCACUGUUGUAUGGGAAGAACAGCUAGAAUAGGAAAUGAUUUUAGUUUGACGGUACCAUACCAGAAAGGGACGGCUAAAUACGUG
rnacentral:rRNA from 1 species